UACGGGGGGGGCAAGCGUUGUUCGGAAUUACUGGGCGUAAAGGGCGCGUAGGCGGUUCGUUAAGUCCUGUGUGAAAUCCCCCGGCUCAACUGGGGAACUGCACAGGAAACUAGCGGGCUUGAGUUCGGGAGAGGGAAGCGGAAUUCCGGGUGUAGCGGUGAAAUGCGUAGAUAUCCGGAGGAACACCGGUGGCGAAGGCGGCUUCCUGGACCGACACUGACGCUGAGGCGCGAAAGCUAGGGGAGCAAACAGG
rnacentral:rRNA from 1 species